rnacentral:rRNA from 1 species
CAGUAGCCGCGGUAAUACGUACGUCACAAGCGUUAUCCGGAUUUAUUGGGCGUAAAGCGCGUCUAGGUGGUUAUGUAAGUCUGAUGUGAAAAUGCAGGGCUCAACUCUGUAUUGCGUUGGAAACUGUGUAACUAGAGUACUGGAGAGGUAAGCGGAACUACAAGUGUAGAGGUGAAAUUCGUAGAUAUUUGUAGGAAUGCCGAUGGGGAAGCCAGCUUACUGGACAGAUACUGACGCUGAAGCGCGAAAGCGUGGGUAGCAAACAGGAUUAGAUACCCGCGUAGUCCCUGUCUCUUAUACA